rnacentral:rRNA from 1 species
CCUUGAGAGUCCUGAAGGAACGUUGAAGACGACGACGUUGAUAGGCCGGGUGUGUAAGCGCAGCGAUGCGUUGAGCUAACCGGUACUAAUGAACCGUGAGGCUUAACCUUACAACACCGAAGGUGUUU